AAUACAAUAGUUCCGCGCUCAGCCCUCGAUAUGCCAUGAACUUUUUGACUUAGCUAUGCGAAUUUCUGUUUAUGUAAAUAAUUCAGAAGUAUUUAUAUAGAACAGAACAGAACAGAACAGUAAUUUAUUGAUAUAACUUGAACAUGUCCAGUUCAUUGCUAUAAGAACAAAAUAUACUAAAACAUACAUAGCAAUGCGAGAGUGAACAAAACAAAAGAACAUUCAGUUAAAAUUCAUUCAGUAUUGUUUGCAAUGUGACUUUUAUAGAUGCCGUUAAAAGGGGAAAAAGCUGUGUAUAUGUUUCUUAUACUAAUACUGUUUAUUUAUAAUCAUUUUAUUGUAAUUAAUUUAACCAGAAUUAAUACGAAGGACAUAUAAAAUAUUUAUACAUGUAGUAUAGAAAUUCAUUUUGUUCAGAAUAUAGAAGAGAAAAAUGGCAUACAUGUAUAUACCAAAAAAAAAAGGAAGCUGUUUUAUAUUUAAAAAACGUAUGAACAGAAGAGCUGUUAACCCCAAGAUCAAAGGCAAUCAGAGUUCCUGACAGUAACAGAUUAUUAUUGACAUAGAGUUCUUGCCCCGAGGGUUAUGCAGGGCAAAUAUCCAAUGACAUCAACAAGGUGAAAUAACCAGUCAAUUGGAAGAAUCAUGGAGAGGUUGUGCUUAAUUCAUACACCAUACUUGAGUUAAUGGACCGUUUUCUUUCCGCAUAUUUUGUAAAUUUUCCUAAAAAAGCUACAUUGUUUUAUAUCCUGUAAUUUUUAAAAGAAACUCAGAAAAAUGUUUCCUUACUGUAAUUUGUGCGGUAUAAAAAGGAAUGAAAAACAUCUCUUCAACUGAAAUUAUAAUUUUAAAUAUUGUCACACUGUUAUGACACUGUUCACAAGUAACUGUUAUAUGUUCAAACAAUUUCCAAAUUUUAUGUAAAAUGCCAAAACUGAAAAUUGCGAGAAUGACGUCCGACACUAUUGUAAACAAACGAUAUUUUGUGCGAGGGAUACAUGUGACGGCUGAAGCAACUUCGAAAUUAAAAUGUGCUGAUUUUAACAGCAGAACGAAAGUACCAAAACAUUGAAAAGCUUCAUAUAGGAGGUCAUACGUUUUGAUAUUUUCUGUGUAAUGAAUUUGACGCCAUGUUAUUAUACAAUGAAUAAUUUAGAAUAUAAACAUGUAUUUUUGUUGAUGAGUUUCGGAAAUGAGCACAUUCUCUUGAGUAUUUUAUUCAAAUUCGUAUGCGAAAAAAGGCCCGAGUUUACUGCAUAUUUCAUUUUACUGCUUGUAGUUGAAAUGUUUGAUAAUGCAUGUUCAUGACCUAGCCUAUCCUCCGAUGCAACAUUUGCCAUGCCAUUUCGACAAAAAUGUCAAGGACUGCCUUUACCAUAGCGCAUGAUAUUUGUGCAUUCUAAUUGUUUGAUUUGCCGCACUGAAGGAGGUAAACCAACACUUGAUAGGCUAGUCUUUUCAAAAUUAUUAUUGAAAAAUAUAAUACUUCAUCAACGACUAUUUGCUCUGUUUGAACUAUUUAAAGUAUAUAAAUAUUCAAGUACUUGUGAGACGACUGAUUUGGGAGAGGACCGUACUCAAAUGCAACUGCACGUAACGCCUAGCGAUCAAGUCCGUUAAUAAUACUUCAGUGUGUAUGUGCAUUUAUGAAUCAAGAACGAGCUUCUUGACAAAAGAGAGGUGCGUUUAAAGGAAGUUAGUUUAGAAAUUUUUUUUUAAAAGUUUUUAGUCAAAAAGUAGUUCUUUUUGCCUUAAAAUGACUAUUCUCAAAGUGUAAAACGCGGAUAUAUUUACUUAACAUACACUCACCUCAGUGCGAAUAGUGUAUAACGGCUUCUUCAUGAUCAAUGCAGAUAUUCUCUUUUUAGCAUUUGGUGGCGAUAUAUGCAACCAGAUGACUUAACUAAGUUAUUGCUCAUCAAACAGUUGCAUUUAACAAUAAGGGAAUACAUGAUAAUGUUAGCGAUCUACCCAAGUGCUUAACCUGUCUAGAAAUGGUGAGAAUGAAAGGUGAUGCAAUGAUAAUCCUUGAAUCAAGAUGUCUGGUAUAUAAAGUAAACAUUACGAGGCUUUGACAGUAAACAGCUGCAUUAUGCAUGAAGUGCAUGCUUUCAGUAUACAAGAACGUAAUAUAGACACAAGUGUUUGUUCAAAAUAUACAAACGCAGCUGCGUAUACUAACAAAGGAUUAGAAAAAACAUUACUACAGACAUGUUUAUUGUUCUACAUAGAUCCAACUUUCUUUUAUGUAUGUUAGCUUUUUCCAGACAAUGAUAAGUGCUUAUCAUAGUCUUUUAUAUCAUUUCUGAUAUUUCAAAGCAAUUGAAACAUUCUUUGCAGAAAGAUUAAAUUAAUAGUGUUUUUGGUAAAUGUUUUUGUUAAUUGUAUGUGCUUUUUGGUAAUAUAUAACUUCAGACUGGAAGAUGCAUUUUUAUCGAUAAAACAAGGGAAUAAUAUAUAAAAUGUAUGUUUGGACAAUGUCUGUAUACUUGUAAUAAAUGCUACAUGGAUACACUACAUAUAUAUUACGCUAGAUAACCACUCUGUUCCAUAAAGACGUUGUGUGACAAAACUGUAACAGUAUCUGUCCGACAACUUUCAAGCGAUUCUUAUGGGAAGGAAUCACUUCACCAGGCUGCUGAUAGGCCAUUUACUGCGGAUUAGCCAUCGUUACACGGUCUACUGUACUGAUUAAGGGAUUUGUUGGAGUUUGCCGUCCUUGUUAAUUACCAAUAGCAAAAUAUCCAAAUAAAUUUUGGCCGCUAUUUUGAUGCUAUCACCUGCUUAAAAUGAAUAUAAUCACACGUAAGCUUGAUCAUCACUAGCACAACUAAUUGAAGGGUUUAUCUAAUUAACUUAAAACUAGAACAACAGAAAAAAUAAUGUUCAUCAAACCAACAAAUCCAUAUACUCACCUGUAAUAGUUAAAACAACAAUUGGAAACUUACCACGUAAACAGUGGUUUUUAGGAAGAUUUAUUUUUAAAAGGUGUAUUCAACUGAUGUAAUUAUGCUAAAUUAAUAGAAGGACGUUUGGUAAACGCUGCGCAACAUGGACACAAUUUUUACUAAAAAAUUGUUAUGUCACAUCUGUUUUCAAAUAUAACAUCAGUUUCAGAGUAAAAUUCAGAAGUUUUUGAAAGCAGGAUAUUUACGUUUGAAGUUUCUGUUAGUGGUUUGUCUUCUUUGCGAUGUUUGGCUUUGGCUGAAUCUGCUGUGCUCAAUAUUUCCAGGAAGUCUACAGUUAACUUGUAAGUUUUUAAGGAAAACAACCUGUUUAUAGAUUGAGAACUUUGAUGACGCAGUUAACUACAUAUGUAGUGGCUACUUGAAGUUUUUUAUUAAGCUGCCGAAAUGCUUAAACAGCCGAUGAAGAAAAUGCCCUUUUAAUAUUCUUCAAGCUCACAUAGUAUGAAAAAAAUUUAACGGUAGAAAAAAGUUGAUCCUACAUCCUUCUAAACGUUUUACAGGUCCCAAACUGCCUAUCUUCAUCAGUCUGAUGAGUACAUUGAAGAACGACAACUCUGUAGCAGAGAAUGGAGAGUGCGAGGAGCUGCAAGUACGAGUCGACUACUAGAGCUUUCUGAGUAUCAGACCAAAAAUUAAGAUGUUAGAUGCAAACAGUAAAAAGUUUGGCCUGGAUGUCGGACGGCAAUGGGAAACGAUUUUAGAAAAUUCAGACAGCCGGAGAAGUUAUCCCCAUCUGCUCCACGCCACACCACAUGUCCAGAGGGCUGGUAAUUUAAGACUACCCUACCAUGCCAUAGACAGAAGAUGCACAUGGGAUGACUGCCGUGUACAUGAAACAGUCUCGUUGAGUAUUUUAAACAAUAUAUUUAAAGAGAACGCGAGGUGAUAUGGAAAGAUAAAAGUGCUGCAACGGCUAAGCCGUUCCCCGUGAUUUCCAACACUUGAAGCAGCCUUUCAGAAGCCAACUGAUAGAAAGCACAAAACAGUAUACUUAUGUAUUACUUGAAAACAUGACAUACGAAUUUUACUCCUGUGAAAAUGAAUGGACUUCAGUCAUAACAUGCCGAAUCUCAAUGUGGAUGAAACAAAUGUUGACAUAGCUCCAGAUAACUUGCUAACGUAUUGUUGAAGCUCGGCGACUCUAAUAAAGCCAACAGACUGUGCGAGGAGCUCAGGACUAGUGACGCUUAUAUUGAAGAUGGAACAACGAGUCUAUUCUGUGAGUAAAUCUGGAUAUGCUUGAUUAUGCAGAAUAGGUAACAUCAGUAACAUCAGAUGAAGCAUAAACAGUGAUUGAAAUUUUAUAACGCGUUGUUGAGUGGUAUUCAAGAACCGCUGGCUUGCAUUUUACCUUCCGUCCGUCGUAGCAUCCAGGUAUUGAAGGAGCUACGUUGCCGUAGAGUACAGUACUAAAUAUAGACCACACAGGUACAAGGCUCUACUGGAUAAUUUCCAAGCCCAUAUAAGGGAUAUGAUAGAAAAACACGGACAACCCUACUGCAGGGAAUAUAUACAUAGACACAAUGAAAAAUACACAACAGUGUCAAAAUAGACACAUCAUGGACCUCAGUGGGGCACCGCCAUAGAACUGUCAGUGGCAAAAACAACAGUGGGAAUCCUACACCUGCGCACAAAAACUUAACUGACUCUUUAUACCUGUUAUGUUCCAAAGUUACAGGACAGUGUAAUAGAACUUUUCACAUCCAAACGAAUCCAUCACACACGUACUUUACGAAAUUUGCAUGUUAGAUCAAAUGACAACAUGAUACUAGUUGUACCAAAGACUCGAACCGUGAUGUAUAACAAGAGCUUCGGGCACACAGCUCCCAAACUACAGAGCUCUCUCCUUGCCGAUACACAUCUUCUAACCUUAUAUCUGACAGUGUCUAUGCAUGAAAUAUCUUUAUGCACAAAACCAGACCUAAAGGAGGAAUAGAAUUCUUCUUAAGCCAGUGCUACGCGUGUCAUGGAUGUUGCAUUUUUCAUUACCACUAAUUAACAGACUCAGUCAAACGGUUGGUUGCGCUCUAUGCUUCCAAAAGAUCUUCUUAUAAAUUUUAUAGAUCUAUCUAGAAAAGAAAAACAAAGUUAAAGAAAUUUUAAUGUUCUCUUGAUAAGUCUACAUUCUGUUUUUAAAAUAUUUUCUCAGUUCAAAAAAAAAGAAGAAAAUCAUUUAAAGAACGCACUGCAAUUUAUCUGCGUAUUCUUUGCUAUUAAAAUGCAGAAUAGUCCUAUUGUUUUGUUGACCACAUCAAAGGCAGUGUAAUAUAUACAUAUUAUGCUGAAAUAGAAUAAAAUUAUUUAAAUGUUCCUAUUAAAAUAUUUGAUUGACAUGGACAUAAAUGAAUAAUCGCAGAUAACCCCUUUAAAUCACUGUAGAGACACGUAUUUCUGAUCGUAAAUUUCUCUUUUUUUCAGGUAAAAGUAUUGGCAUAACGUCGAAGCAUACUUCGAUUGUUAACUAGUAUCAAACGAACGUGAUACACUUGAUUUUGCUGCAAAUUUGGAUGUUUUUAUUUCAGUGUAUAUGUGAUGUGAAACCCAAAUUUUAGCCCUGUUAGGCGCCAUAUAACCUGCACUGUUUGUUGCGCCGUUAAACACAAAUCAAGGUCAAAAUCAAAUAUUAUUUUACAUAUCUGCAAUGAGACAUGAAAUAAAAGAUCUUAAAAAUGUUUCUCUGCUUGGUACUUGGUAAGGUAUAUGAAGAAACAAAUAAAGAUCUCUUUAGGACACUCCGACAUGCAUAUACUUUUGUUUGGUUAGGAAUGAAAAUAUAUUCAAUACAUUUUAAACUUUGUCAAUAUGUCAUAUAAAGUUACAUGAUAUUAAUUAACAUGAACUUCUACUAAACUUAGAGCAUGGCGGAAACCGACAAAAGUUUUGACAUACAUUCAUUAUUAUGCUGAUGGUUUUAAAAGUUAAAGUUAAUUUCCAGCCAGGUCUAUUUGAUUUGCACAUAUAAAUAAAUGGACUUGACACAAACAUUCCUAAGUGAAGGAUAUGUGUACAGACGUUAUUCUACUAUGUAAUCCAGACGUUAAGCAAUACAGAAAACAGUUGACAUCUUUAAAUCUUAGUAAGGUCUAAUAAGCACAGCGUUUGCCGUGUUUAUAAGCAAUAUUUUAUUCAAAAUGAUAUUUCUUCUUUACUAUUUUGUUCUUACAUAAUCGAAGUAUUUUGAAGAUGCGAGGGAUGGUUUGCUUCGUUAUUUUCAAAUUUGUCUCUGUGUACUGUUUUAUCUUUUGUCUUUUACAGAUGUCUAUGCAUAUUAAUAUAAAGAAGACAAAAGAGAAAUGCUUUGUGGGACUGGAGCAGAAAAUUACAAUCUGCUGCAGUUAUAAGAUUAAAAUGUUGGAACGGUGGUUAUUUUUCAGAACUAAUAGAAAUUUAUUAUGAAACUUUUACUUUCUUGUAAAUCUGAGGGGAUUGCAAUAAAUCUAAUUAUACGUAUCUACUUCUCUGUUUCGUGUUAGGAAACUGUCUUUACUUUUAUUGUUUUGACAGUAGGAACAAAGUUUGGUUGAUUAACUGUCAUCGAAGAGCUAAUAUCAGCGUUUAUGGUAUUUCAUGAUUUGCAUAUUGUCUAUAUUUCUUACAUAAAACGUUUGUGUUACACUUUGCUACUUCUAUAUCACCAUUAAAAUUUGCAUUUCAAACGGUGAUGUAUUUCAUAAAUUUAGCAGAUAUCACAUAACGAUGAAUUAACUAGAUCAUAACUUUCUUAACACAAACCUGCAAUUUUAUUUUUGUCUUUUUUAUUUUGGGAUAUAAAAGGAAAUUCCAUAAGUGGACAAGAAAACGUCUUUGUCAAAACCUUUUCUCGUAUUUAUAAUUUUCCAACACCAAUAUGUUUUCGUCUAAUCUUACGAAGUUUGAUUUUAAAUGUAUUCAGCACCAUUCUACAUCAUUUAUAAGAUAAAAAUCAUCUAAACGUUUAUGAAAUGAAAUCAUAACUUAAUAGCUCCUAUUGUUUCUAAUGCAAUUUGCGAGUAAAUACAUGGUAUCUUUACGAUGUUCAAACAUGGUAAAAUUGCUUUAUCUUGUAUGAGCCACAGCAGAACUUGUCUAUAAAGCUCUCAGCGGCAUAGGUUAAUAGGGUUUCUCUGUAAGCGCUGUGAUUGGCCAAUAGAUAGAAUUCUCUACGCGCGCUGUGAUACGCUUUUCUAAGAAUUUGUACAAAUAUGGACAUAAAAUGUUUAAAGAUAACACUUCAGAAACAGCUAUAAUAAAUGGUACAACAUUUUGUACUGUCAGAUCUGAAAGCGAUACGCGGGAAAUUGAUCUUUUUGGCGGAGAAAGUAGACACAUUAUCUUAAGUACCGCCUAUAUGUGGAUUCUUAAAAUGCAGAAAUGUGCGUUUUGAAUAGGAUUUCUCGUUUUGGUAAUAGUGAAAUCCCUAAAUGAAAAAUAUUAUAUGACAAUCGACUGCAUGUAUGUGAUAUAAGUUACAUAUUUUCUAAGAAAAACAUAUCCUAUGUCCAUGUUUAUGUAUACCAUAUUCCUGUAUAAUAUCUACAUUCUGAAAUCUUUUAAAAAAUCACGUGUCCAAAGAUAUAGAAUGAAACUGGUAUUUAUAUGUACAACACUAAACAAAGAAUAUUUGUGUAGUUCCGAACAUUUCUAAAUUUCUUAAAAUGUCUAAGUCUGAUAUUGCAGACUCUUUAAUAUCAUUAAAGAUACUCAUAAAAAACAAGCUUGUGUUUCUACCUUUUUGCAGCUAUAUACAAUGUACAUUUUUCUAAAUGAUUUCAAUAUAUCAGUAAUAUCACAUGAUUGCUAAUGUUGCUGCUACUUAAAAACUUCACCAUAUUUAGUCUAAUGUAACUGUGCCAUUGUUGGAUGCUAAAAUAUAUGUAUACUUUUGGAUAUCGUGGGCAUCCGUUUCAGCUUAAGGUAUUUCAUACACCGAUAUGCCACUAAAUCUGAAACUACUAAUGAAUUAAUAUACUUGCAAUGUCAAGCUGGUUUGUACAGUACCCGACUGAGGUGUAUUUUCUACUUUCAUAUUCAACAGAGUUAGUAAGGAGCUCUAAACACUAUAGUACAACCGAAGUAAUGUUCCAUAUAUUACAGCAGCAAACAAGAUUUAAAGAAACAGACUAAAACGACAUACAUGAGAAAAAGCGGUGCAUUGUUACUCUGAAGGCGCAUGUGCACGAAGACUAUCUAAAAUUUAGUGGCCAUAAAGAAAUGAUGCUAUUAGUAAAAUUAUAACAACUCGAAGGAAUGUCAUAUCCGCCCCUUCAAAGACGGCAAGAAAUAUUUCCGCCAUGUUUCAUUUAUUCUAAACUUGUAACAUGUUCAUCCAACUGUAUGUUAAUGUAAUAUUCACGAAUUAAAUAUUACGCUCUACCUUGUUCAUUUGAUAUGUUGAUGUUGCAUUAAGUCAUUAUUAAUUACCGUCUUUGACCGGCAAUUUAUUGCCGACUGAUAUAGUGGUAUAUUUUUCAAAUGCGUGAGCGUUUAUUUAAAUGCCCUUUGUUUAGAUGCAUCUGAAAAAAUGCAUGAACCAUAAAUUGUGCCUAAUGCGUUUAUGCAACGGGAAUAUUAAUGACACUUUUAAGAUUUUUUUCAUAUCCAAAAAGGAUCAAGCAAAAAUUUUGUCGAAAGGUUGCGCAAAAAUGUAGAGGAGUAUGUGUAUCUAUAUCGCUUGUCAGAUUACAUUGUACCUGUGCAAGCUACAUGGCUGUGUUUUGCAUGUCCCCAAAUAAUGAAGUGAAAAGCUUUACAACUUGAAAUAUAUAUUUCAUCUACGAUCGUUAUGAUAUUCAGUUACAUUUGGAACAUAUUUUUCUAUUUUUGUUUUGCAUGGUCGUAACAUACAACUGGAAAUCGAACUGUCAAUGUAUGAUUAAAUUCAAAACCUUCCAAGUAGCCAAAAUCUUCAAAGCAGUCCGACAUUUCCGUCAGAAUCUCUUGCAUUUUCUCCGAAGAUAUACAAUUUAAACUUCAGGCAUUAUAUAUAUUAUAUAUUUCAUUUUAUAUGAAUAUAUGCUAAAUAUAUGUGUAAACGGUUGACGUUUUUCAGUAUUGAUUUCUUUUAAUUAAUAUUAUACACGUAUUGAAUAGCUUGUCGGUUUGCUAUUUUAAUAAUGCCCCGAAAAAGCAAAAGAACAAAUUGUAGAUGUCAUGAUAUAUAUUUAUAUACCAAUGAUAAUUUCGAACGUUUCAUUUCUACAAGUUUAUAUUAAUUUACUUGCCAGCUACGAUAUUGUGACAGGGUAAAAAGAGUCCGUCAUAAAUAGGGUGAAAAUGUAGUUUAUGUAGAAUUUCACCGAUAAUCACUGAAAGAUUCAACUGAGAUAAAUACUGGGUGAUAUAUUUGAAACUAUUCAGUAUAAUUUAAACAUUAAAUGGUUAAUGUAUACAAUCAAUAACGGAAAGUGUAAAAGACCAUAUUACGAAAUGUUUGAACGAACGUUAGUAUAAAAUAUAUUGUAUUUAAAGAGAAUUAGUAUCAACUUGACCAGUCCCACUAAAAGUAUUACUAGAAUUUAGUAAUACCAAAAGUUCAAAUUACGAUGUAAGUCUAACAUUAUUUGUUUUUGUUCUGUCAAAACGCAUCAUUUGUUUUUGUUCUGUCAAAAAUGCAUAAAAUCUAAUAUCGUUGACAAAGUAUUAGUAACGUUGACUUGUGUUACGUAAGUAACCUAAUUUUAAUCAUUUUAAUCUUAUUAAUUUAUUGAUGAACGUGUAAAGGAUUUUCAGAACUAUUGCGUUAUACUUAGACACUGUUAUAAAACAGAUUUAAACAAAAACUUACUGAUCUUCCCCAAGCAAAUGAAAUGCAAAAUUGGUAUCAUUCCUAUUAAAUACAUGACGUAUCUCUUUUAAUCGCAGUAUAUCACUUCAAAUUUGCACAUUCACUUAUAAAUUUGCUUGCACAAUGAAUGUGUAGUAAUUGAUGCAGACAGGUGAGAAUUACCAGCAGCAGGUAGUUACGAAUGGUGAACAAAAUUGCGUUUUGCAGGUUUUGACAACGUUUGUCAACACUACGUUACCGUUCUAUUUCACAAAAGAAAAUGAGCGCGAGGCCAUUUGUCCAUUCAUCCAUUUUUGUUUUGCCAUUUAGAUUCGCAGAACAUGUUAGGACUGGUGUGGAAUAAACGAUUUCAGUGGUCAAUUUAGUCAUAACGUGUUUUGCGCAAGAAAGUCACGAAAAAGGUGGUUAUUGAAUGACUUUGCGCGUAUUUAUGCUGCUAAUUAGCCACGUGCAAUCUCCAGCUCUGGAUUUGCACUCGUGUGGCCUUUUUCUGAGAUAAACCAAAGGUGAUAAACGUAAAUAAUCAGAGCAUUUGGCAACACAAUUUUAAUCUGCGAGACAGCCAAUUAAAAGGUCAUGUGAUGGUUCAAAUAUAUGAAAUCGUUCUUUUGUUCACUUCUGUCGAGCAUCUGAAACAUAAAAUAAUAUUUUCAAUCAAAUUGCCAAAUUAGUUUUACACGAACCUACCUUAAGGCGAGCACAUACAUCAACAUAUUAGAUAUUAAUUGCAGACUACAAAAAAACAGACAUUUAUGAAAUGUUACAGUAUUUUAUAAACUUAACAAAUUACCGGUGUCAUAAAAUAACAACGUUUUAUGGCAUGCAAUUAGUUAUUUGACCCCUUACACACCUGCACUGCAUUUAAUUAAGUCAUUAUAUGUCUUUCUUCAACAUUUUCAGAUAUUUCACAGUUUUCAUGAAAAAGACACCUUUAAGUGCUUGCCUAUCACCAAGAUUAAACUAACUUGCCUGUACCUGACUAGUUUCUUUUUGUAAUUAAAUUAACGUUUAGAUCUUUUGAUAGUUAUCAUAUUAUGUAUAUACUUUUGGUGGUUGACAAAUAUUACCACACUGUUUAUGAGAUGCUUGUGAGUUUUGUUUUAGCAAUCAGUCUGUACAAAUUUGUUGUGACGCACCAGUUGGUUGGAUUAGUAAAAACUACCCAUAGAAUUCCUGUCUUCAGCUUAUACAUAAAUCAUUUAUUAAGACCGAAGCCAGUAUUAGAGCCCAUUUUCUCGCAUCAGUAUCCCUCACAUCAAGCUUGGAGCGAUCAGUACAACAACAGGUGUAAAAUCUAUUUACUAUUGUUAGCUGAAAUAGAAAAAGAACAUAAGUGCAAAAUACAAAUAGUUAUUUAUCAAAUAUAAUAGGUGCUGAAAAUUCCUACGUAUGUCAAGAGUGAGUGCUAUGCUGUGACAUAUUUCUCAUAGGUAUAACGUUCUUCAAACAGUCCAAAGGUUUUUUCGACCGAUAUAAGACUUAUUAUAAAAUGCCCUUGCAGUCAUUAAAUUCUUUUUCUCGUCAUCGCGAAAUUUUGAGGCCGUUUAAAUUUUACAACCUACCUUGGCAAAAUAAAUUAUUUUGCAAGGCCUAUACAGAUCGGAAUUAAGUGACAUUCAGGCUAGACAUCAGUUAUGUUUAUAAAAAAAAUCGUGUUAAAAGGGCAGACAGAAAGAGCCUUUUUUCAAUGAAUAGGUUACUUGAGGUGACAACCUUUUCUUUCAAUCCAGGUUUCAUCCGUUUAGCGCCAAGUGGCAAUUUUUGUGUACACUAACCUCACAUUUAAUCACUAAUGAUACAUCGAGUGUUUUACCAUAUUUGUUUUGAAAAUACUUAGUCCAAGCAACCAGCUCAAAUUGCAUACGUCACACUGUGUAUACAAAUCGUUUGACCUUAGGCCGUUUCAAACAAGUAUUUAACAAAAAGGUGUUAAGCCAAGACGUUCACACGAUUAGCUUUGGUUUCAAGUAUCACACAUUAUCUCCCUUUUGAAUACGAAAUAAGAUGUACAAGAACACGAGGAUAUUGUAUUUGAUUUUUUACAGAGCUGUAGUAGAAAAUAAUGAACAGCUAUAGCAGAGAUGAAAAUAAGCUGACACGAGCCAUAUCGCAAAUACAUAACUAAAAAUCUGUUGUUUUUUUUUCCAAAAUAAGAGUUUAGUAUUUUACUUCUAGCUAUUGUCAUCUGGGUCAUCUCCCCAGGCAUUUUUUCUACAUGUAGUAAAAUGUACGCUUUCCCUGUAAUGACUUUUAUAAUAUAAGUCCAAAUUACCAUGCAAAACCAGAGUCGUAUGGAGUUACUGCAAUUGUCUGUUGUGGUGAGGACUUUAAAUAAAGAUAUAUAUGUAUUUUCAUAACUUGUUAUCAAAGAGGAAUC